UAUGGUUGUGUGCCAGCCGCCGCGGUAAUACGGAGGAUGCGAGCGUUAUCCGGAUUUAUUGGGUUUAAAGGGAGCGUAGACGGGUUUUUAAGUCAGCUGUGAAAGUUUGGGGCUCAACCUUAAAAUUGCAGUUGAAACUGGAGACCUUGAGUACGGUUGAGGCAGGCGGAAUUCGUGGUGUAGCGGUGAAAUGCUUAGAUAUCACGAAGAACCCCGAUUGCGAAGGCAGCCUGCUAAGCCGCCACUGACGUUGAGGCUCGAAAGUGCGGGUAUCAAACAGG
rnacentral:rRNA from 1 species